rnacentral:rRNA from 1 species
CCUACGGGGGGCAGCAGUAGGGAAUAUUGCUCAAUGGGGGAAACCCUGAAGCAGCAACGCCGCGUGGAGGAUGAAGGUUUUCGGAUUGUAAACUCCUUUUGUUAGAGAAGAUAAUGACUGUAUCUAACGAAUAAGCACCGGCUAACUUCGUGCCAGCAGCCGCGGUAAUACGGAGGGUGCAAGCGUUACUCGGAAUCACUGGGCGUAAAGAGCGCGUAGGCGGGAUAGCAAGUCAGAUGUGAAAUCCUAUGGCUUAACCAUAGAACUGCAUUUGAAACUGUUAUUCUAGAGUAUGGGAGAGGUAGGUGGAAUUCUUGGUGUAGGGGUAAAAUGCGUAGAGAUCAAGAGGAAUACUCAUUGCGAAGGCGACCUGCUAGAACAUAACUGACGCUGAUGCGCGAAAGCGUGGGGAGCAAACAGGAUUAGAUACCCUAGUAGUC